GGCAGCUUCUGGAGAACAGGGAUCUGUUUUUCUAAUCUUCCAUCCUGUGCCUUAGGCAGUACUGUGUUGUGUGUGUGUGUGUGAAUAUUUGUAAAUAUGAAUUGGGAGCAUCUGUUCUGGACACAUUCCUUGUUUGAUCUGACCUCCUUUUGCCUUCAUCCAAGCUGUUCCCUUCACCUGAGAAACCUUCCUCCAUCCACUUACUCUACUAAAAUGAAACCAAACCUUUUGAGAAACCUUCCUCCAUUCACUAUUCCACUAAAAUGAAACAAAUCUGAGCCACUCAGAUCCACACUCCCCUUACCUGUGCUUUGCGUGUGUUCAUUUUUUACAUUUACUCAGCCAUGUUACUCAACCACUGAAUGGGUCUACUUGGUGAAUGCCUUUUGACACGGUCUUCUCCCCCAAUGGAAUUGUGCCUUCUUGUCUUUUCACUGUGUGCUGUUCUGGAGAGACAUGAGUGGUAGUAGGGAUAUUUUCAUUCCUCUUCUCCUUCCCUCUCUGCUUCCUUCCUUCCUUUCUACUCUGUUCAUUCAAUGAGCAUCCAAUGGACAUAUCACCAUAAGGUUCCAUGCUGACUUAAAUGUGAAUGAGAGGAGAAAACUAAUCUUGGAGAUUAAGAACUUACAGGAAGUCACAGAAUGAGAAAGUAGCAGAGCCCAAAUUUACAUCCAGGGUUCUGUUCCAAGAUCAGAGCUCCUCAUCCUGGCUAUGUGACUUGCUUCAGUGGGGCUUAGGGUGCCAGAGAUGUCUCCAAGAGUUCACCUGCCACCUUCCACAUGUGCGGUGCACCUGAUUGUCCCAUGCUAUCUCUGAGAGAUGCUGAUCCACAGAAGCUGAGUGAGGUUAUAGCUACUCUGAGGCAUGCUCACAGACUGAAUAGCAUUCUCAGAUAACAGGAACCAGGAUGAAGGAGCAGGCCUAUUUGAGAUUUUCCAGCUGAGGGAAGGGGAAAGGAUGAGGAGGACACACACAUACAGUCAUCACACAGUGGUCUGUCACACCCAACUGCUAGUCUGGCAUGAUGCUUAAG